rnacentral:rRNA from 1 species
AUUGAACGCUGGCGGCAUGCUUUACACAUGCAAGUCGAACGGCAACGAGGAGAAGCUUGCUUCUCUGUCGGCGAGUGGCGCACGGGUGAGUAUAGCAUCGGAACGUGCCAAGUAGUGGGGGAUAACCAAACGAAAGUUUGGCUAAUACCGCGUAAGCUCCAAGGAGGAAAGUAGGGGACCUAAAUAAGGCCUUACGCUAUUUGAUCGGCCGAUGUCGGAUUAGCUAGUUGGUGGGGUAAUGGCUCACCAAGGCAAUGAUCCGUAGCGGGUCUGAGAGGACGAUCCGCCACACUGGGACUGAGACACGGCCCAGACUCCUACGGGAGGCAGCAGUGGGGAAUUUUGGACAAUGGGGGAAACCCUGAUCCAGCCAUGCCGCGUGUAUGAAGAAGGCCUUAGGGUUGUAAAGUACUUUUGUUAGGGAAGAAAAGCUAGUUUUUAAUAAAAAUUAGUGAUGACGGUACCUAAAGAAUAAGCACCGGCUAACUACGUG